rnacentral:miRNA from 1 species
UGUGUGUGUGUGUGUGUGUGUGUGUGUGUAUGUGCAUGUGUGCAUGUGCAUACACACACACACACACACACACAUAUG